rnacentral:tRNA from 1 species
CCCCUUGUAGCUCAGUCGGUAAAGAAUCUGCCUGCAAUGCAGGAGACUCAGGUUUGAUCCCUGGGAUGGGAA